AAACUGCUUUUAUACGGGAAGAAAUGCGCCCACGUGUGGGCGUCUGACGGUACCGUAAGAAUAAGGACCGGCUAACUCCGUGCCAGCAGCCGCGGUAAUACGGAGGGUCCGAGCGUUAUCCGGAAUCAUUGGGUUUAAAGGGUCCGUAGGCGGGCCUGUAAGUCAGGGGUGAAAGUUUGUGGCUCAACCAUAAAAUUGCCUUUGAUACUGCAGGUCUUGAGUCAUGGUGGGGUCGCCGGAACAUGUGGUGUAGCGGUGAAAUGCAUAGAUAUCACAUAGAACACCGAUCGCGAAGGCAGGUGGCCAACCAUGUACUGACGCUGAUGGACGAAAGCGUGGGUAGCGAACGGGAUUAGAUACCCCGGUAGUCCACGCCGUAAACGAUGGAUACUAGCUGUGGGGACUUCGGUCUCCGUGGCCAAGCGAAAGUGAUAAGUAUCCCACCUGGGGAGUACGUUCGCAAGAAUGAAACUCAAAGGAAUUGACGGGGGCCCGCACAAGCGGUGGAGCAUGUGGUUUAAUUCGAUGAUACGCGAGGAACCUUACCAGGGCUUAAAUGCAGGCUGCAUGGGGUAGAGAUACCCCUUUCUUCGGACCGCCUGCAAGGUGCUGCAUGGUUGUCGUCAGCUCGUGCCGUGAGGUGUCAGGUUAAGUCCUAUAACGAGCGCAACCCCUACCGUUAGUUGCCAGCAUGUCAAGAUGGGGACUCUAACGGGACUGCCGGUGCAAACCGUGAGGAAGGUGGGGACGACGUCAAAUCAUCACGGCCCUUACGUCCUGGGCUACACACGUGCUACAAUGGCCGGUACAGAGGGAAGCCACCCCGCAAGGGGGCGCGGAUCUACAAAACCGGUCACAGUUCGGAUCGGGGUCUGCAACUCGACCCCGUGAAGCUGGAAUCGCUAGUAA
rnacentral:rRNA from 1 species